UUUGGGGAUUUAGCUCAGUGGUAGAGCACUUGCCUAGCAAGCACAAGACCCUGGGUUUGAUCCCCAGCUCCAAAA